AUGGAGCAGCUGCCCUUCCCCGCCUGGCCUCUAAAAGGAGGGGCGGAGGAGGGCGAAGUCAUCCACCCCUGCAUCCCUCUCUUCCUUCUUUCCUGGUUCUCUGCUUCUUCUGGUAAUGCUGAAGGGAAGGGCCCGGGGUCAGCCCCCGGGCUUCUCCUUGGGGUCUCCCUUGGAUCUGAGAGGAAGUGUCUUAUCCGCUCCCUUCCCUCCAGAUUCUGUACAGUACGCCGCCGGCCGCCGUUCUUCUCCGCCCGUCCGCCGCCGUGGCCGAUCCGGGAGACGGUGCUGGACAGCGUGGCGGCGUACCACCACCAGCAGCGGAUGCGCCGCAGGUUCCGCAAGAGCCUCUCCUGCCCGCUACACAAGGCUCACCGGCGGUGCAGCGGGAUUUUGCUCGACCGCAACCCCAAAUCCCCUCCUACCCGACCUAGCGCCGCCACCCACCAGAGCCCAUCCUCUCCUCGGCUGGAUGCCCAUCGGCGCAACCUGGCCAGAUGCAGCACGCGCACGAGCAUCCACUUGGUCGCCUCGAGCCGGGCAAGGAAGUUGGGCACAACGAGCGGCUCAUGGAGGCCUUGGUCGUCGGGGAUGGGGCAGAGCACAUGCGGAGGCCGGACUCGCGCCCCAGCACCUCCACAACAAGUGUGCGUCGCGAGCGAUCUUCGGUGA
rnacentral:rRNA from 1 species